rnacentral:rRNA from 1 species
CACGUAGGGCGCGAGCGUUGUCCGGAAUUAUUGGGCGUAAAGAGCUCGUAGGCGGCCUGUUGCGUCCGCUGUGAAAGCCCGGGGCUUAACCCCGGGUCGGCAGUGGAUACGGGCAGGCUAGAGGUAGGUAGGGGAGAAUGGAAUUCCCGGUGUAGCGGUGAAAUGCGCAGAUAUUGGGAAGAACACCGGUGGCGAAGGCGGUUCUCUGGGCCUUACCUGACGCUGAGGAGCGAAAGCGUGGGGAGCGAACAGG